GGGAUAUGUCAGUCUGCUGUAAUGUAGGCUGCCAGACUGGAGCUCUAUCUCUGAAAUGCUCUGCCAAGGGCUGGAUUUGACACAGGGCCACUGAGGCCAUGGCUUCGGAGAGGCAGGUAGGAGGGGGACUACAUACCCCAUAACCCCACUACCCCCCACUAAAGCAGUAACCACUAGACAUGCAACCCCAAACCCCACCAGCAACAUUCCCACAAAUAUG